GACGAACGCUGGCGGCGUGCUUAACACAUGCAAGUCGAACGGAAAGGCCCUGCUUUUGUGGGGUGCUCGAGUGGCGAACGGGUGAGUAACACGUGAGUAACCUGCCCUUGACUUUGGGAUAACUUCAGGAAACUGGGGCUAAUACCGGAUAGGAGCUCCUGCUGCAUGGUGGGGGUUGGAAAGUUUCGGCGGUUGGGGAUGGACUCGCGGCUUAUCAGCUUGUUGGUGGGGUAGUGGCUUACCAAGGCGUUGACGGGUAGCCGGCCUGAGAGGGUGACCGGCAACAUUGGGACUGAGAUACGGCCCAGACUGCUACGGGAGGCAGCAGUGGGGAAUAUUGCACAAUGGGAGGAAGCCUGAUGCAGCAAAGCAGCGUGCGGGAUGACGGCCUUCGGGUUGUAAACCGCUUUCGCCUGUGACGAAGAGUGAGUGACGGUAAUGGGUAAAGAAGCACCGGCUAACUACGUG
rnacentral:rRNA from 1 species